GACGAACGCUGGCGGCGUGCUUAACACAUGCCAGUCGAACGGAAAGGCCCUGCUUUUGUGGGGUGCUCGAGUGGCGAACGGGUGAGUAACACGUGAGUAACCUGCCCUUGACUUUGGGAUAACUUCAGGAAACUGGGGCUAAUACCGGAUAGGAUCUCCUGCUGCAUGGUGGGGGUUGGAAAGUUUCGGCGGUUGGGGAUGGACUCGCGGCUUAUCAGCUUGUUGGUGGGGUAGUGGCUUACCAAGGCUUUGACGGGUAGCCGGCCUGAGAGGGUGACCGGCCACAUUGGGACUGAGAUACGGCCCAGACGGCUACGGGAGGCAGCAGGGGGGAAUAUUGCACAAUGGGCGGAAGCCUGAUGCAGCAACGCCGCGUGCGGGAUGACGGCCUUCGGGUUGUAAACCGCUUUCGCCUGUGACGAAGCGGGAGUGACGGUAAUGGGUAAAGAAGCACCGGCUAACUACGUG
rnacentral:rRNA from 1 species